AUCUGAACUCUGUUUUCAGCUAAAGGAAAAAUAGGAUCUUUGGAAUAUUUGAGAAUUGAGGUGCAUACAUAGGUUUACAAACACAAGUACUGCGUGUUCAUUUCUGAUCUUCCAGCUGUCAUUUUGAUCCAGGUGUUCAGGUGAACGCUGUAGAUGUCUCUUUCUAGUCCCAACGUUGUAAUGUGAGGUUUUCACUCUCUGCAGCUCUUACCCCUGCAGGACCUUUCUUGGGACAGGUAGGAGUGCUGUUGAAAUAGAAGUUGUGUUUCUGGGGGCUGACAGGUGCCUUGGUUGCAGCUGGUUAUGAUGAGUUCUGCAGUUCAGCAGGACUUGUGCUCUCUGGUGCUUUCCCAGGCAGGUUUAAUGCACAUUUUGGGGAUGGAGAUGUGGGUUUCUGAGGGCCGGUGUUGCUGUGAUACCCUGGUGGUCUCUGCAGCUGGGAGCUGCUGUUGGCUGCUGUUCCCCUGGAGGAGGUGGCAGGGGAGUGUUUGUGCCCCCAGCCUGGCCCUGGGGCUGUAGGAGCCAAGGUCACUCCUGGGAGCCACUGCAAAGGAACUUUGGCUUGGGUGUUGUUGUUCCAGCUGGGAAGGAACCUGUGUGCAUUGCUGCUGUACUUGAGGCACACAGUGACAGCUCACAGCUGGGAGAACACAUGUCCAGGCAGGAACCUGUGUGCAUUGCUGCUGUGCUUGAGGCACACAGUGACAGCUCACAGCUGGACAGAACACAUGUCCUGGCAAAUCUGGAAGCACAGCUGGGUAGUUACAGGGACUUGCCCGAGUCUGUGAGCCAGGGGGGAAGAAGAUGCACACUAGUGCUAGAGGAAAGCUUUGAAGGAGCCCAGAUUGUGCAUCAAGCACUGGUGGCUGUGAUACUGGUGAGCUCUCAGUGCUGGUUUGGGCUGGCACUGGGGUUGAUUUUCUCCUGGGUGUGAUUUGUGGUUGGGUUUGUGCUGCAGCAGUGCUGAUAGCACGGGGUGCUUCAGCUCCUGCCCUGUUUGGAGCACACUGUGCUGGCUCUGUGUUAGCCCCUUCAGGAGUUUGCAGAUCUUUCUGCUCAGCAAAUGUCCUGGCUGGCUGCUUUCAGUGCCUCGGCCAAACUGCUGUUUUCAGAACAGUUCCCCACACACACACAGUAGCUGACCAAAUGUGAAUUGCUCUGUUAGGCAUAAAUAGGAUUUAUAAAGUGGAAAGUUGUAGGUAAGUGUCUGUUUUCACCCUUCUUCUUUUGCUCUCUGACCUGUAAAUCCUGACUUGUCGUGCACUCAACAGCAAGAUGCCUCUGAGGAGUUGAAAUUGUAGUGGUAAAUGAAAUACAAUAUCAAAGAAACCAUGCAAUUUUCCAGCUAGGUUCCUGCUGAUGCACUCUGCUUCAUUUUCCACUGUAUGAUAUUUGACUACAAGGCAGUACCUAUGUGUGGUACAGGGUGGAAGGUUGCAUUGGGUGCCCUAAUUCUCCCUGGUUUGCAGCAGUCUGGUCUCUGUUACUAACAGAGGGGUGGCUGUGCUCAGGCAGCUGCUGGGCCCACCCCAAAAGGGGUUCCCCAUGCAGACCUGCUCUGGUUGUGACAUAUCAGCAGCUCUGCUUUGUUGUUUCUGGGCUCCCUGCACGUCCGUUAAUCUGCCCAGGAUUCCCCGUGCCUGGUAAUUUGUACCAAGGAAUUUCUGGGAAGGAGUUGUUGGAUAUCUUUGUGACUCGCGGUUGCAGUGCUGGAGGUGCCAGCUCUGUGGCAGGCCGUG
rnacentral:lncRNA from 12 species